UACGUAGGUCCCGAGCGUUGUCCAGAUUUAUUGGGUUUAAAGGGUGCGUAGGCGGAGUGCCAAGUCAGCGGUAAAAAUUCGGGGCUCAACCCCGUCGUGCCGUUGAAACUGGCGCCCUUGAGUGGGCGAGAAGUAUGCGGAAUGCGUGGUGUAGCGGUGAAAUGCAUAGAUAUCACGCAGAACCCCGAUUGCGAAGGCAGCAUACCGGCGCCCGACUGACGCUGAAGCACGAAAGCGUGGGUAUCGAACAGG
rnacentral:rRNA from 1 species